AUUGAACGCUGGCUGCAGGCCUAACACAUGCAAGUCGAGCGGAGCGGCGUACGGGUGAGUAAUGCCUAGGAAUCUGCCUGGUAGUGGGGGAUAACUUCCGGACACGGGCGCUAAUACCGCAUACUAUCAGAUGAGCCUAGGUCGGAUUAGCUAGUUGGUGGGGUAAAGGCCUACCACGGCGACGAUCCGUAACUGGUCUGAGGGGAGGAUCAGUCACACCGGAACUGAGACACGGGCCAGACUCCUACGGGAGGCAGCAGUGGGGAAUAUUGGACAAUGGGCGAAAGCCUGAUCCAGCCAUGCCGCGUGUGUGAAGAAGGUCUGCGGAUUGUAAAGCACUUUAAGUUGGGAGGCGUUACCAACAGAAUAAGCACCGGCGAACUACGUGCCAGCAGCCGCGGUAAUAC
rnacentral:rRNA from 1 species